rnacentral:lncRNA from 1 species
CUGAACCUGGGGCUCACCAAUUAGGCAGACUGGUUGGCUGGAGAACCCUGGGAUCUCAGCAUUUGUAUCCCAGACAGUCUUACUGUACUGCCUUAGCUGACCUUGAACAUCUGGCUCCCAAGAUCUUGCUUCAGCUUCCCAAGUCUAUGGUCCCUAGCUGGCCUGAAAUCCUCAGAAAUCUACCUGCCUCAGCCUCCUGAGUGCUGGGAUUAAAGGCGUGGGGGUGGACUUUGAGGUCUCCUAUGCUCAAGCUACUCUCAGCGAGACAGACCACUUCCUGUUGUCUGACUAUCAAGAUAAAGGGCUCUCAGCCCCAGCACCAUAUCAGCCUGCAUGUCACCAUGUGACACCAUGUGAUAAUGGACUAAACCUCUGAAAAUGUAAGCUACCCC